GUUCCAGCCCAACACUUUAUUCCAAAGUAGUAAAGUGUGUAUCACUUAAGAAUAGCUAUUUUCCCAUAUAAGAAUGAUCAAUAUCCCACCUAAGGAAUUUAACAUUGAUAGAGUAAAAUUUAUUUUCUGUCUGUUUUGUGGUACUGGAGAUCAACCCAGGGAUGCUCUACCACUGAACUACAUCUACCACUGAACUACAUUUUUAUUUUUUUAUUUUGAGACAGGGUCUUACUAGGUUGCUUAGGGCUUCACUAAGUUGCAGAGGCUGGCCCUGAACUUGUGAUCCUCCUGCUUUAGCCUCCUGAGUCACUGGGACUACCCACACCAAGCAUUUAUGAUUUCCCGAUCACAACAUUCCUCUGUAUUUAUUAGAUAACAUUUUUUUCUGUAAAAUUUCUUACCCUGACCAUUUUUCUUAGUUGCAUUCCAUGGUUUAUACUGCCCUGCCUUCUUUUUGCUUUCUGGUGCUCACAUUAACCCAGAGUUGGAGGGUGAAACCCCUGCAGGCUGGUUCCCGUGUCCUUCAGACGUACAUAGUCCUGCCAGUUAUUCCUCUUGGGUGGGAAGUGCUUCACAGUCACCUAGCCUUGUCCUUGCUCCAGAGUCGUAAUCCUACCACUUCUCCAAAAGCAUAGGUUCCUUCUCAGUGGGGAAUGUAUUUACAAAUUAAGAUCUAGAUGCCAGGUUAGCUCAGUGCUACUGAGGGCAUUGCUUUCAGGCCUUUGCAGUGGACAGAGCUGGGACAUGGUGGUGGUGGUGUUGUAGUUUUGGAACUGGGGAUUGAACUCGGGGGCACCUGACCACUGAGCCACAUCCCCAGCCCUCACUAGGAGUAGCUUAGUGCCUUACUUUUGCUGAGGCUGGCUUUGAACUCAUGAUCCUCCUGCCUCAGCCUCCAGAGCUCUGGGAUUACAGGCUUGUGUCACCGUGCCCUGCAGUCCCCCCCACCCCUUUUGACACAGGGUCUUGCUAAGUUUCUUAAGGCCUCACUAAGUCACUGAGGCUAGCCUUGAGCUUUCGAUCCUCCCAAUCCUCCCGCCUCAGCUUCCUGAUUUGCUAGGAUUACAGUUAUGUGCCACCAUGACUGGCUUAGGAUGUCAUUUUUUAAAUAAAACUAGACUGCUUCUGUUUUUUUGUUUGUUUUUCAGGAGUUUCUUAUAUACUUUGUAGAGGUAGGUGAAAACUAGGGGUUGGAGUUUGAAAAAUUCCAGAGACUAAAGUUAUAUCGACUUUUCUCAGCUUUGCUUUCCCAUAAUCCUCUAGGAAGCUAGGUUUUCUUGGCUCACAUUAUGUAGAAUCCUUUGGCCUUAGAUAUCUCUAAACACAGGCCAGGGAGAGCGAGACUCCUUAGGCUACUUAGCUAACAUUUUUAUUCCAUGAUUCAAAAAUAUUGAACAAAGAACGUUGAGGUGUUUUCUUUCUCAGGGCCAAAAGAAAAGUGGGACUUGGUCUUUGCCUGUGGCCAGCAAGGAAGGCAUUUGGUGGCAGAGUGCUGGGACUUGGAGAAGGGAAGGUACUGUCUACCCUGAGGCAGCUCUAGAGAGAGGCUGGGAGGUGCAGGCCUUGAACCUUGUCUGGUUCAUCCCUAGGGGAUGGGCCCUCUCUGCCAAUGGGAUCCUGGAGGCCACGGUGCCAUAGGGAGGGGAGGGUUUUUUUAAGUUCCGGCUUGGUCCUGUGGGUAAUGUCUCAUGUUGACUCCAUUUCAAGAACUUAAAUAUACUGAGGGUAUUUAGAAAAUCUUCUAAUUCAGGUCCUCUACUAAGAGAGAAUGAGUACCUUUUUUUUGUUUGAAGACUUGUGCACUUAAAUUCUUGGUGUUAUAGUGCUGUAAUGUACAAAGCUAGGGGUUUUUGUUUUUGAUUUUAAGUGUAUAAUUUAAAAAUCGGUUUAGGUGGUUUUCAGUGUUAAUAUGGAACAAAUAAAGUCAGUGAUUUCAGGUUUUCUUACUAGAAUUGCUCAUUUGUUCAGUACUUAAUGCUCACACAUUCCCAGGGCCUCCUGGGGCUUAUCCAAGGUGUGAUCAGCAGUGAGACACCUCUCAGGUGUUUAUGGAAAGAGGCACGAGAGCCCGACACUUUAUCAGGGUCCUGGCCCUAGUGGAGCUGAGGAGACGUUGUUGAGUGGAGGAGGAGGUCAGGGCGUUAACAUGAAGAGUGUGUUUUCCACUCUCAAAGGAAGGACAUCCAACAGGCAAAUGUGCUCAGUCACCCACGUGGGUCUUGCCUCCCUUCCAGGCUGUCCCGCUGUGACUCUUAUCACUCCAGUCUUCCUUCCUCCCUGUCCCCUGAAGAGGAGGAGAGGCCCAGGAGGCCUUGUGUGUCAGUGUCCCUGUUGGUGACCCGGGCUUUCCCUCCUGCCUUUGGGGUGUGGUCCCUGCCUGCCGGGAGCUUCUUUGUGCUUCUGUGUUCUCUUUCUUGGACAUGCUGUCAUUGCUGAUGUGACAGCUCUGGGGGCUCGAGGCCUGAGCUGCUGCUUCCCCCACCAACCUCUGUCCGCCGAGUUCUGUUCUCCCCUCCUUCCACCUCAGUGGAACCUGUGCAUCUUCAGGACACUCCCGCCUUCCGCCCCCGAGUUCUUGGUGUCAGCUGCCUCCCUCGCUCCUCUCUGCUGCCUAGUCUGGUGGACCUUAUAAGCCAGUUACUUGGUCACAUAAGGCGAACAAGUGGGACUCAUCUGGAAGUGAGGGCGACUCUGCAAGGAACUGCAGUGGGGGCUCCUGGGAGUUCCUGUGCUCCCCCCUGCCCUCUGGAGCCUCGUGAAAGUGCCGUGGUCUGCAUUUUGCUUGCUGCUCAGGUGAGCAGGCCUGCUGUGGGUGAGCAGGAGCUCGUGCACAGAAGGCCAUGGCUCCUUGCUGGACAGAGCUUUGGACUACUUGCACCUGUCAGAGAUAGAAUCGGGCCAUUUGUGCCAUUUUCUCAUGAACUCACUCCAUAGAUGUCUUCCUAAAGUUUGGUUUAGGUUGUGAUGAAUUUAAGAUGGGAAGUCACAGAACCUUUCCUCCCAUUUUUAGUCCAGUCCCACAGAGGAAUGGCAUCUGUCACCUGGGCACCAUCAUUACCCUGCUUUUCCUCCUUUAUGGGUGGGGACAGCAGAGGAGAUCCUGGGCCGCCUAUGGCUAGACUGCUCCCUGCAUCCUGUGGCAUCUGUGCCAUGUACCUGGGCUGGGACACCUGGGUUAGCUGUGCUUCCAGCAGUGUCUCUAGCUCAGUGAUCUUUGUAGAUUGCUGCGGAGUAAACUAAAUCGGCUGCUUCAGUGCAUUUUCCAAAUGUCGUCCCAAAUUAUAUAGCAAGUCUUACAUUUUAUUUUGAGAUACUCGUAGAUCACAGUAUAUUAAUAGUAUAUUGUCACAAAAAAUGACAUGGAAGAAUCCUGCCCAGUCUUCACCCAUGUCCCCUGUGGUGACAUCUUGGGAAUAUAGGAAUACAGCAUUGUGGUCAGGGUGCUGGCGUCCUGCAGCCACACCUACAUCUCUUCUGAACCCUGGCAACUGAAAGUCUGUUCGCGGUCUCUUUAAUUUUGUCUUUCCAGGAGUGUUAGUGAAUAGGACCGCAGCAUGGAACUGUUGGAACUGUCUUGCCCAGCGUAGUUUCCUGGGGAUCGUCCAGGUCAUUGCGUGGACAGUGGCUCAGCCCUUUCCAUGGCCAGCAGUGGGCUGUGGCUGUAGGCUGCCCAGUAUUCACUCGGUGGAGGACCCUGGGUGAUUGUAGUUGGGUUGUUGGGAGUCCAGCUGCAUGGAGGGUCUGUGCACGUGGCCUUUGUUCCUCUGGGACAGAUGCCCAGGAGGGUGGUGCUGGCCCCGGCUGUGUGGCAGCUGCCUGUUUGGUGCUAAGAAAGUACCCAGCUGUUUCCUGGUGACACCAUUUUUCAUUCUUGC
rnacentral:lncRNA from 1 species